rnacentral:tRNA from 1 species
GCUGGGGUGUCGGAGCCUGGUCAAACGAGUAGGACUUAAGCUCCUAUGGCUUAGUGCCUGCGCAGGUUCGAAUCCUGUCCCCAGCA